UACGUAGGGACCGAGCGUUGUCCGGAUUCAUUGGGCGUAGAGAGCUCGUAGGCGGCUGCUCAAGUCGAAUGUGAAAACUCGAGGCUCAACCUCGAGCCUGCAUUCGAUACUGGGCGGCUAGAGUCUGGUAGGGGGAUCUGGAAUUCCUGGUGUAGCGGUGAAAUGCGCAGAUAUCAGGAAGAACACCCGUGGCGAAAGCGGCUCUCUGGAACGGUACUGACGCUGAGACGCGAAAGCGUGGGGAGCGAACAGG
rnacentral:rRNA from 1 species